AGUGAACGCUGGCGGUAGGCCUAACACAUGCAAGUCGAACGGCAGCACAGUAAGAGCUUGCUCUUACGGGUGGCGAGUGGCGGACGGGUGAGGAAUACAUCGGAAUCUACUUUUUCGUGGGGGAUAACGUAGGGAAACUUACGCUAAUACCGCAUACGACCUACGGGUGAAAGCAGGGGAUCUUCGGACCUUGCGCGAUUGAAUGAGCCGAUGUCGGAUUAGCUAGGUGGCGGGGUAAAGGCCCACCAAGGCGACUAUCCGUAGCUGGUCUGAGAGGAUGAUAAGCCACCCUGGAACGGAGCCACGGUCCCGACUCCUGCGGGAGGCAGCAGUGGGGAAUAUUGGACAAUGGGCGCAAGCCUGAUCCAGCCAUACCGCGUGGGUGAAGAAGGCCUUCGGGUUGUAAAGCCCUUUUGUUGGGAAAGAACAGCAGCAGGUUAAUACCCCGCUGUUCUGACGGUACCCAAAGAAUAAGCACCGGCUAACUUCGUG
rnacentral:rRNA from 1 species